rnacentral:rRNA from 1 species
GAUGAACGCUAGCGACAGGCUUAACACAUGCAAGUCGAGGGGCAGCACAGGGUAGCAAUACUUGGGUGGCGACCGGCGCACGGGUGAGUAACGCGUAUGCAACUUACCUAUCAGAGGGGGAUAGCCCGGCGAAAGUCGGAUUAAUACCCCAUGAAACAGGGGUCCCGCAUGGGAAUAUUUGUUAAAGAUUCAUCGCUGAUAGAUAGGCAUGCGUUCCAUUAGGCAGUUGGCGGGUAACGGCUCACCAAACCGACGAUGGGAUAGGGGUUCUGAGAGGAAGGUCCCCCCACAUUGGUACUGAGACACGGACCAAACUCCUACGGGAGGCAGCAGUGAGGAAUAUUGGUCAAUGGGCCGAGA